rnacentral:rRNA from 1 species
UACGUAGGGUGCGAGCGUUAAUCGGAAUUACUGGGCGUAAAGCGUGCGCAGGCGGUUUUAUCAGACCGGUGUGAAAUCCCCGGGCUCCCCCUGGGCAUGGCAUUUGUGACUGUAAGACUAGAGUACGGUAGAGGGGGAUGGAAUUCCGCGUGUAGCAGUGAAAUGCGUAGAUAUGCGGAGGAACACCGAUGGCGAAGGCAAUCCCCUGGACCUGUACUGACGCUCAUGCACGAAAGCGUGGGGAGCAAACAGG